UGGGGAAUAUUGCACAAUGGGCGCAAGCCUGAUGCAGCCAUGCCGCGUGUAUGAAGAAGGCCUUCGGGUUGUAAAGUACUUUCAGUAGGGAGGAAGGUGUACGUGUUAAUAGCACGUACAAUUGACGUUACCUACAGAAGAAGCACCGGCUAACUCCGUGCCAGCAGCCGCGGUAAUACGGAGGGUGCAAGCGUUAAUCGGAAUUACUGGGCGUAAAGCGCACGCAGGCGGUUUGUUAAGUUGGAUGUGAAAUCCCCGGGCUUAACCUGGGAACUGCAUCCAAGACUGGCAAGCUAGAGUCUCGUAGAGGGAGGUAGAAUUCCAGGUGUAGCGGUGAAAUGCGUAGAGAUCUGGAGGAAUACCGGUGGCGAAGGCGGCCUCCUGGACGAAGACUGACGCUCAGGUGCGAAAGCGUGGGGAGCAAACAGG
rnacentral:rRNA from 1 species